ACGAAAGCGUGGGGAGCGAACAGGAUUAGAUACCCUGGUAGUCCACGCCGUAAACGAUGCUAACUCGUUUUUGGGUCUUCGGAUUCAGAGACUAAGCGAAAGUGAUAAGUUAGCCACCUGGGGAGUACGUUCGCAAGAAUGAAACUCAAAGGAAUUGACGGGGGCCCGCACAAGCGGUGGAUUAUGUGGUUUAAUUCGAUGAUACGCGAGGAACCUUACCAAGGCUUAAAUGGGAAUUGACAGGUUUAGAAAUAGACUUUUCUUCGGACAAUUUUCAAGGUGCUGCAUGGUUGUCGUCAGCUCGUGCCGUGAGGUGUUAGGUUAAGUCCUGCAACGAGCGCAACCCCUGUCACUAGUUGCCAUCAUUCAGUUGGGGACUCUAGUGAGACUGCCUACGCAAGUAGAGAGGAAGGUGGGGAUGACGUCAAAUCAUCACGGCCCUUACGCCUUGGGCCACACACGUAAUACAAUGGCCGGUACAGAGGGCAGCUACCUAGCGAUAGGAUGCGAAUCUCGAAAGCCGGUCUCAGUUCGGAUUGGAGUCUGCAACUCGACUCUAUGAAGCUGGAAUCGCUAGUAAUCGCAUAUCAGCCAUGAUGCGGUGAAUACGUUCCCGGGCCUUGUACACACCGCCCGUCAAGCCAUGGAAGUUUGGGGUACCUGAAGUCGGUGACCGUAACAGGAGCUGCCUAGGGUAAAACAAGUAACUAGGGCUAAGUCGUAACAAGGUA
rnacentral:rRNA from 1 species